UUGAUCCUGCCGGACCCGACUGCUAUCAGAGUGGGACUAAGCCAUGCGAGUCAACGCAGCAAUGCGUGGCAUACGGCUCAGUAACACGUAGUCAACAUGCCCAGGGGACGCGGAUAACCUCGGGAAACUGAGGAUAAACCGCGAUAGGCCAAGGUUUCUGGAAUGGACACUGGCUGAAACCUACAUGGCCCCUGGAUUGGACUGCGGCCGAUCAGGCUGUUGGUGAGGUAAUGGCCCACCAAACCUGUAACCUGUACGGGCUUUGAGAGAAGGAGCCCGGAGAUGGGCACUGAGACAAGGGCCCAGGCCCUAUGGGGCGCAGCAGGCGCGAGAAUUCUGCAAUAGGCGAAAGCUUGACAGAGUUACUCUGAGUGAUGCCCGCUAAGGGCAUCUUUUGGCACCUCUAAAAAUGGUGUAGAAUAAGGGGUGGGCAAGUCUGGUGUCAGCCGCCGCGGUAAUACCAGCACCCCGAGUGGUCGGGACGAUUAUUGGGCCUAAAGCAUCCGUAGCUUGUUCUGCAAGUCUUCCGUUAAAUCCACCUGCUCAACAGAUGGGCUGCGGGAGAUACUACAGGGCUAGGAGGCGGGAGAGGCAAGCGGUACUCAGUGGGUAGGGGUAAAAUCCUCUGAUCCACUGAAGACCACCAGUGGCGAAGGCGGCUUGCCAGAACGCGCUCGACGGUGAGGGAUGAAAGCUGGGGGAGCAAACCGGAUUAGAUACC
rnacentral:rRNA from 1 species